rnacentral:lncRNA from 1 species
AUGUUUGUAUGGAUCCCACGGCCCCUCCCUCCCACCUCUCCCUCCUCUCAGUCGUGUCUCACCGCCUCCCUCAGCCCCCUCUGCCUUAGUCAGCUCUGCCUUGUUUUGCUCCAAAGCCUGAACGUUUUGCACUUGAAUAUGAAAAGUUACUCUCAGAGCUCAGCAGGCUGUACCAGGUGUGCAGCCCUGCCAGCAAUAGGUGCUUCCACAUCUCCUGUUCGCAGCAAUACCUCUUCUGUUUGCAGCAAUACUUGUUCUGUUCAGCAAUACCUGUUCUGUUCCCCCAUCUCCUGUUCCAGCAAUACCUGUUCUGUUCCCAGCAAUACCUGUUCUGUUCCCCCAUCUCCUGUUCCAGCAAUACCUCUUCUGUUCCCAGCAAUACCUGUUCUGUUCCCCCAUCUCCUGUUCCCAGCAAUACCUGUUCUGUUCAGCAAUACCUGUUCUGUUCCCCCAUCUCCUGUUCCAGCAAUACCUGUUCUGUUCAGCAAUACCUGUUCUGUUCCCCCAUCUCCUGUUCCCAGCAAUACCUGUUCUGUUCCCAGCAAUACCUGUUCUGUUCCCCCAUCUCCUGUUCCCAGCAAUACCUGUUCUGUUCCCCCAUCUCCUGUUCCCAGCAAUACCUGUUCCCUCCUUUCCUGCCUUUCCAGCAGCAGUGCUUUGACAUCUCCUGCUUUUCCAGCAAUAGGUGCUUCCACACCUCUUGCCUUUCUAGCAAUACCUGUUCUGUUCCCUCACCUCCUGCCCUUGCAGCAAUGGGUGUUUCCAUACCUCCUGCCUUUCCAGCAAUUCCUGUUCCCUCACCUCCAGCCUUUCCAGCAAUUCCUGUUCUAUUCCCUCCUCUCCCCUUCCACCCAGAGAUAUGGGUGCUCCCAUAUCUCCAGCCUUUCCAGGAAUACCUGUUCUGUUCCCUCACCUCCUGCCUUUCCAGCAUUGGGUGCUUCCAUAUCUCCCAUUUCCAAGCAAUAUCUGUUCUUUCCAUCUCCAGCCUUUCCAGGAAUACCUGUUCCUCCUCUCCUGCCUUUCCAGCAAUAG